rnacentral:rRNA from 1 species
GAUGAACGCUGGCGGCGUGCCUAAUACAUGCAAGUCGAGCGAACAGACGAGGAGCUUGCUCCUCUGACGUUAGCGGCGGACGGGUGAGUAACACGUGGAUAACCUACCUAUAAGACUGGGAUAACUUCGGGAAACCGGAGCUAAUACCGGAUAAUAUAUUGAACCGCAUGGUUCAAUAGUGAAAGACGGUUUUGCUGUCACUUAUAGAUGGAUCCGCGCCGCAUUAGCUAGUUGGUAAGGUAACGGCUUACCAAGGCAACGAUGCGUAGCCGACCUGAGAGGGUGAUCGGCCACUCUGGAACUGAGACACGGUCCAGACUCCUACGGGAGGCAGCAGUAGGGAAUCUUCCGCAAUGGGCGAAAGCUUGACGGAGCAACGCCGCGUGAGUGAUGAAGGUCUUCGGAUCGUAAAACUCUGUUAUUAGGGAAGAACAAAUGUGUAAGUAACUAUGCACGUCUUGACGGUACCUAAUCAGAAAGCCACGGCUAACUACGUG